rnacentral:rRNA from 1 species
CGUAACAAGGUCUCCGUUGGUGAACCAGCGGAGGGAUCAUUACCGAGUUUACAACUCCCAAACCCCUGUGAACAUACCAAUUGUUGCCUCGGCGGAUCAGCCCGCUCCCGGUAAAACGGGACGGCCCGCCAGAGGACCCCUAAACUCUGUUUCUAUAUGUAACUUCUGAGUAAAACCAUAAAUAAAUCAAAACUUUCAACAACGGAUCUCUUGGUUCUGGCAUCGAUGAAGAACGCAGCAAAAUGCGAUAAGUAAUGUGAAUUGCAGAAUUCAGUGAAUCAUCGAAUCUUUGAACGCACAUUGCGCCCGCCAGUAUUCUGGCGGGCAUGCCUGUUCGAGCGUCAUUUCAACCCUCAAGCCCAGCUUGGUGUUGGGACUCGCGAGUUAAAUCGCGUUCCCCAAAUUGAUUGGCGGUCACGUCGAGCUUCCAUAGCGUAGUAGUAAAACCCUCGUUACUGGUAAUCGUCGCGGCCACGCCGUUAAACCCCAACUUCUGAAUGUUGACCUCGGAUCAGGUAGGAAUACCCGCUGAACUUAAGCAUAU